AAAAAAACCAACUUGUGGAGAGGGUCCAGUGAAGGGCCACGAAGAUGACGAGAGGACUGGAGCACCUGUUGUAUGAGGAAAGGCUGAGAGAGUUGGGCCUGUUCAGUCUGGAGAAGAGAAUGGU